rnacentral:rRNA from 1 species
AGCAGCCGCGGUAAUUCCAGCUCCAAUAGCGUAUAUUAAAGUUGUUGCAGUUAAAAGGCUCGUAGUUGAAUUUCGGGAUCAAUUUGUCGGUCGUGCCUCGGUACGUACUGGUAUUAUUGGUUUCUACCUUCUGAAGAACCUUGAUGUCAUUAAUUUGGUGUCUUGGGGAAUCAGGACUGUUACUUUGAAAAAAU